GCCAUAUCCACCACCGAGAAGCGCUUGUCCUCCGAGGGGCCGCCACCUGAGAUGGGGUGCUCUUGCUGAGGGGCAUCGGCUGAGAGGUUCCUGCCUCUGGGGUCUGUGCUGUGCCCCCACCGGGUGUGGCUGGUUGGUGGGAGGUGCUGGUUCCCAUACUGGGGGGCAUCGGCUGAGAGGUUCCUGGCUCUGGGGUCUGUGCUGUGCCCCCACUGGGUGUGGCUGGUUGGUGGGAGGUGCUGUUUUCUGCACCCGGGGGCCCCCCGGGUGUGGACGAGGUUGGUGGCCUCAGAGUUGUGCCAGAGGGUGGAUGAGGGCCUGUGCCUCCCCCAGAGCUGGUCGUGGAGGGUCCCUGGGAG
rnacentral:lncRNA from 1 species